CAAAUUUAAAAUCUACCUGGUUUYCAGGUCGAGUUGUAAUUUGAAGAUACGUUUUUGACGUUCCGGGUUGAACUAAAUCCUUUGGGAUAAGGUAUCAUGGAGGGUGAGAAUCCCGUAUAUACCAACCRUAGGGAUGUUAUUUAAUACSUUUCUAAGAGUCSAGUUGUUUGGGAAUGCARCUCUAAAUGGGUGGUAAAUUUCACCUAAUGCUAAAUAUAAGCGAGAGACCGAUAGCGAACAAGUACAGUGAUGGAAAGAUGAAAAGAACUUUGAAAAGAGAGUUAAAUAGUAYGUGAAAUUGUUGAAAGGGAAACGAUUGAAGUCAGUCAUGCCRGUGGGAAUCAACUUAGAGGAAACUCUGAGUGCACUUYUUCGCUUGGCAGGUCAACGUCGAUUUUGGAUGUCAUAAAAUGAUUGGGGGAAGGUAGCUCYUUCGGGAGUGUUAUAGCCCUUGGUAGAUGUGAUGUCUGGGAUCGAGGAUUGCAAUGGAUACCCUUUGGGGCUAGCCGCCUGAUCUCUAAUYGGUAUUGGGUUACGGAUAGCAUGCUGACCGUGAUCUAAUUAUUGGUUAAAAGGUUA
rnacentral:rRNA from 1 species